UCUAGUAUGGCAGAUAUAAUGCAAUGAAUUUAAGAUUCAUAGAUAAAGAUUUUAAUCUUUUAUUAGAA
rnacentral:tRNA from 1 species